rnacentral:rRNA from 1 species
AGUGAACGCUGGCGGUAGGCCUAACACAUGCAAGUCGAACGGCAGCACAGUAAGAGCUUGCUCUUACGGGUGGCGAGUGGCGGACGGGUGAGGAAUACAUCGGAAUCUACUUUUUCGUGGGGGAUAACGUAGGGAAACUUACGCUAAUACCGCAUACGACCUACGGGUGAAAGCAGGGGAUCUUCGGACCUUGCGCGAUUGAAUGAGCCGAUGUCGGAUUAGCUAGUUGGCGGAGUAAAGGCCCACCAAGGCGACGAUCCGUAGCUGGUCUGAGAGGAUGAUCAGCCACACUGGAACUGAGACACGGUCCAGACUCCUACGGGAGGCAGCAGUGGGGAAUAUUGGACAAUGGGCGCAAGCCUGAUCCAGCCAUACCGCGUGGGUGAAGAAGGCCUUCGGGUUGUAAAGCCCUUUUGUUGGGAAAGAAAAGCAGCAGGUUAAUACCCCGCUGUUCUGACGGUACCCAAAGAAUAAGCACCGGCCAACUUCGUG